GGGAAGUAAGGGAUGGGGGGAAAGGCUGCACUGAGACACUGAGACACUAAGGGACAUUGGGAGACAUUAUGGCAGACACUGAGACACUAAGGGACACUGGGAGACAUUAUGGCAGACAUUGAGACACUAAGGGACACUGGGAGACAUUAUGGCAGACACUGAGACACUAAGGGACAUUGGGAGACAUUAUGGCAGACACUGAGACACUAAGG
rnacentral:lncRNA from 1 species